rnacentral:rRNA from 1 species
UACAGAGGGCUCAAGCGUUGUUCGGAUUCAUUGGGCGUAAAGGGUGCGUAGGUGGCGAGGCAAGUCUGGUGUGAAAUCCCGGGGCUCAACCCCGGAACUGCACUGGAUACUGCUUUGCUAGAGUACUGGAGAGGAGAUUGGAAUUUACGGUGUAGCAGUGAAAUGCGUAGAUAUCGUAAGGAAGACCAGUGGCGAAGGCGAAUCUCUGGACAGUUACUGACACUGAGGCACGAAGGCCAGGGGAGCAAACGGG